ensembl:lncRNA
UGGCGAAACAUAAAUAAUAAUGUAUAUACAACAUUAAGACAAAUAUUCUACACAAAUCCACAAUUAUUUAUAUCUCAAAAUAUUUCAAAUAGAACUAUUGGAAAAUUAACAAAAAUUAUAAAAAAACCAAGAGAACUAUUAAAUAUAUAUAAUACCCCCAAAGGAACAAUUAGGGGAAAUGUUUUACUUAAAGAAAAAAAUUUAAGUUAGCACAUUUAGUCUAACAUUUUUAAUUUUAAUUACGUCCUUAAUACAUACUACAUAAUAUAUGUAUAUAUGUUACCAACUACAAACACAUUCAACCAUGUCUAUGUGUUGUACAUAUGUAUAUAAAAACACGAUGAUAAAACUAUUAAUAACAAUUGUUGUUAAUUUUCAUUUCGAUUGUAGGUAUAUGGGUUGAUUGCAUGAACAAUUUUGAAUUAAGAGGACAUUUAAUAUGCCCCUUUGGAAUUACUGAAAUUCACAUUUUCCCUGACGUAAAAUAUGUUCUGAUUAUAGAAAAAGAAACUAUAUAUUAUAAAUUACUGCAAUCAAAUUUUAUAUCUAAAUAUGGGCCAUCCAUUUUAAUUACUGCUAAGGGGUUUCCAGGUUGUGUUACGUAUAUGUUUAAUGGAUAUGCAUUAUUAACACUUGUAUAAGUUUUAUUUAUACACAUACGUAUGUGCAUAAUUACAUGUGUCUACCUGCAUGGACGUUUUACCUUUUCAGAUAUAAACACUAGGCAACUUAUAUUUGAGCUUCACAAAAAGAAGAAAGAUCUUAAUUUUUUUUGUUUAACUGAUUACGAUGCUUAU